AUUGAACGCUGGCGGCAUGCCUUACACAUGCAAGUCGAACGGCAGCACGGGAGCAAUCCUGGUGGCGAGUGGCGAACGGGUGAGUAAAGUAUCGGAACGUACCUUUCAGUGGGGGAUAACGUAGCGAAAGUUACGCUAAUACCGCAUAUUCUGUGAGCAGGAAAGCAGGGGAUCGCAAGACCUUGCGCUGAUGGAGCGGCCGAUAUCAGAUUAGCUAGUUGGUGAGGUAAAGGCUCACCAAGGCGACGAUCUGUAGCGGGUCUGAGAGGAUGAUCCGCCACACUGGAACUGAGACACGGUCCAGACUCCUACGGGAGGCAGCAGUGGGGAAUUUUGGACAAUGGGCGCAAGCCUGAUCCAGCCAUGCCGCGUGAGUGAAGAAGGCCU
rnacentral:rRNA from 1 species